AUGAGGCUGGAGAGGGUGGUGUUCGCGCUGAACGGGCGGCGGUACAAGGUGGGCGCCGGCGACGUCCACCCUGGGACCACGCUGCUCGAGUUCAUCCGCAGUUCUGCACCCAGACGCCAUUCACCGGCACCAAGCUCGGCUGCGGGCGUCAUGGUUCGAGUGCGGUGCUAUCGGUCAUGCGUACCAUUGCUUUCUGUGAUUUUUGGGUCGACAUGCGUACGUUGUGGUCCAAGCGUACAUCAUUAA
rnacentral:rRNA from 1 species